GACGAACGCUGGCGGCGCGCCUAACACAUGCAAGUCGAACGAGCGAGAGAGAGCUUGCUUUCUCGAGCGAGUGGCGAACGGGUGAGUAACGCGUGAGGAACCUGCCUCAAAGAGGGGGACAACAGUUGGAAACGACUGCUAAUACCGCAUAAGCCCACGGGUCGGCAUCGACCAGAGGGAAAAGGAGCAAUCCGCUUUGAGAUGGCCUCGCGUCCGAUUAGCUAGUUGGUGAGGUAACGGCCCACCAAGGCAACGAUCGGUAGCCGGACUGAGAGGUUGAACGGCCACAUUGGGACUGAGACACGGCCCAGACUCCUACGGGAAGCAGCAGUGUGGAAUAUUGCACAAUGGGGGAAACCCUGAUGCAGCGACGCCGCGUGGAGGAAGAAGGUCUUCGGAUUGUAAACUCCUGUUGUUGGGGAAGAUAAUGACGGUACCCAACAAGGAAGUGACGGCUAACUACGUG
rnacentral:rRNA from 1 species